rnacentral:lncRNA from 1 species
ACGUGUAUCCCCAGGGGUUCAAACCAGGACAUUUAGGAUUACGCAAAAAAAAAAAAAAUUGAAUAAUGGCAGGAAAAAGGCACCUACGUCAACAGUGUAAGGCAACUAUAUUCAUUAUAAACAUUUUGCUAAUACAAAAGGUACAGGUUAUGGGCUGCCAGGGGCACACAAGUGAAAAAAGAUNGGGAACCACCGCUCUAGGCCCUUGAUCAUUUUAGUCAACCUCUUUGGAAUCUUUCCAUACUCUACUAUAUCCCCCUUUUGAGAUGUGGCAACCAAACCCACGCCGUGUAUUCCAGAUGUGGUCACACUGUUGAUUUGUUUCAGGGCUUUGCAACAUUAGGAACUCUGUUUCCUAAAACCAUUCCUUGCCGACCCUAACGUUGCGUUGACCUUUUAUAUGGCACUGAGGCAUGCUGUGUGUGAAAGCAGACUGCUGGGCUUCGUGGGACAAUGGAACCUUUCCUGUGUUCUAAAUAAUGUUCUUAUGUUCUGGUGGGAGGAACACAGGAAGAGUUUUUUGAAACAUCAUUUUAAGCGUUAUACAAAGUGGCUGCGCUCCUUCUGGCCUGAGGACAGUGCUCAUCCCUGGCCAGUCCCAACAGGGGGCCGCAUUCCAACAGUGGGUGAGGCUACAAGCACGGGCAUAAACCUACCGUUGAACGAGCCUGGCUUUUUUUGUUAGGCCUCAGGAAGCAAAGAGGAAGCCAUUUUGGAGUGUCUGGCUGGCUGAUGAGCUCGGUGUUUGUUCAUUAUUGCAUUCUCUGUUUUCUUUGCCAGGAGCCCAUUUCACACUAACUAGGCCUCGGCCUGAAUUUUACUCUCACGCAUGGCAUAUGAAUGCAGAAACUACAGUGGGAACUGAUAACGGCAUUGAGGAAAUGAGAGAGAUGGGAGGUGAGAACAUACCUCAAGGGAAGGAGGAAAGCAGCAAUGAGAGCUGGGGAAGAAAUCUGGAUUCUCAAAGACCCCAAGUAAGUCCUGAAGAACAGGACUCUUUCAGCUGCGUAGAUCCUGUUGAGGCCAAUUCUCCUUUAUCACCAUCUCCUACUCCCAUGGUGAGGUCCAGGAAGAAAAAGAAGACAGAUGUCAUGUUUGAGCAGUUCCUGCAGCAGUCCAGAGAACAGCACAAGGAGCUUCUCCUCGAAAUGGCCCGUGACAGAGAGGUGGCGCUGGACUUCCUGAAGAGCUUCAAGGAGGAUGCCGCAGAACACCGGGAGGAGAGCGAGCACCUUACGGAGACAAUGUACACCCAGAAUGAGACUUUGAAGGGACUGGUUGCUAAUUUGAACAGCUUGAUUGAUGCCUUUGUGAACCAAUCCCAGAACAGGCAUUGUUCUAAUACCUCCCACAGCACCGCAAUGCAAUGAGGGAACCAGGCCGAACAACAAGAGUUGCAGCCUCUGGCAUCUGCUGCACUGCUGGCGUGGCAAUAAUUUCACUUAUCCAGAGUUCCACAGCCUGGCCACACAUUUCCUGAAGACCACCAUAGUGACACCUAUGAGUGACCACUGCGGAGAGCUGUGUUUUUAUACAGAUUUUUUGGAAAGUGUUCAAGAAUAUUUUUUUAAGCAAAAUAAAGAGUUAUUUAAAAAAAAAGGGGGGGGAACA